UCUCCGUAGGUGAACCUGCGGAGGGAUCAUUACUGAGUGAGGGUUUAACCGCCCGACCUCCAACCCUUUGUGAAUCGUACUCGUUGCUUCGGGGGCGACCCUGCCGUUUCGAUGGCGAGCGCCCCCGGAGGCCUUCAAACACUGCAUCUUUGCGUCGGAGUAUUAGUAAAUCUAAUCAAAACUUUCAACAAUGGAUCUCUUGGUUCUGGCAUCGAUGAAGAACGCAGC
rnacentral:misc_RNA from 1 species